UGAGACCGGCGCACGGGUGCGUAACGCGUAUGCAAUCUACCUUGUACAGGGGGAUAGCCCAGAGAAAUUUGGAUUAAUACCCCAUAGUAUUUUCAGAUGGCCUCAUUUGAUUAUUAAAGUUCCAACGGUACAAGAUGAGCAUGCGUCCCAUUAGCUAGUUGGUGUGGUAACGGCAUACCAAGGCAACGAUGGGUAGGGGUCCUGAGAGGGAGAUCCCCCACACUGGUACUGAGACACGGACCAGACUCCUACGGGAGGCAGCAGUGAGGAAUAUUGGUCAAUGGGCGCAAGCCUGAACCAGCCAUGCCGCGUGCAGGAUGACGGUCCUAUGGAUUGUAAACUGCUUUUGUACAGGAAGAAACCCUCCCUUGUAAGGGAGCUUGACGGUACUGUAAGAAUAAGGAUCGGCUAACUCCGUGCCAGCAGCCGCGGUAAUACGGAGGAUCCAAGCGUUAUCCGGAAUCAUUGGGUUUAAAGGGUCCGUAGGCGGUUUUAUAAGUCAGUGGUGAAAUCUGGUCGCUCAACGAUCAAACGGCCAUUGAUACUGUAAGACUUGAAUUACUUGGAAGUAACUAGAAUAUGUAGUGUAGCGGUGAAAUGCUUAGAGAUUACAUGGAAUACCGAUUGCGAAGGCAGGUUACUACGAGUAUAUUGACGCUGAUGGACGAAAGCGUGGGGAGCGAACAGGAUUAGAUACCCUGGUAGUCCACGCCGUAAACGAUGGAUACUAGCUGUUUGGAGUAAUCUGAGUGGCUA
rnacentral:rRNA from 1 species